GCCUUCGUGGUGUAACGGUAGCACACUCGGCGCAUAUUCGAGAGGUCCAGGCUCGAGUCCCAGCGAAGGCG
rnacentral:tRNA from 1 species